rnacentral:rRNA from 1 species
CCUACGGGAGGCAGCAGUGGGGAAUAUUGGACAAUGGGCGAAAGCCUGAUCCAGCAAUUCCGCGUGUGUGAAGAAGGCCUUCGGGUUGUAAAGCACUUUAGGUUGGGAAGAAAAAGCUUCGGUGAAUAUCCGGAGUGUUGACGGUACCAACAGAAUAAGCACCGGCUAACUCUGUGCCAGCAGCCGCGGUAAUACAGAGGGUGCAAGCGUUAAUCGGAUUUACUGGGCGUAAAGCGUGCGCAGGUGGUUUCGUAAGUCGGAUGUGAAAGCCCCGGGCUCAACCUGGGAACUGCGUUCGAUACUGCGAGACUAGAGUUUGGUAGAGGGUGGCGGAAUCCCGGUGUAGCGGUGAAAUGCGUAGAUAUCGGGAGGAACAUCAAUGGCGAAGGCAGCCACCUGGGCCUGAACUGACACUGAGGCACGAAAGCGUGGGUAGCAAACAGGAUUAGAUGCCCUGGUAGUCCACGCCGUAAACGAUGAGAACUUGACGUUGGUUCGUUUUACGAAUCGGUGUCGUAGCUAACGCGAUAAGUUCUCCGCCUGGGGAGUCGGCCGCAAGGUUGAAACUCAAAUUGAAUUGACCGGNGUGNGNGNGCGAGGACGACGACGAGGAGGAGG